rnacentral:rRNA from 1 species
GAUGAACGCUGGCGGCGUGCCUAAUACAUGCAAGUAGAACGCUGAAGGAGGAGCUUGCUCUUCUGGAUGAGUUGCGAACGGGUGAGUAACGCGUAGGUAACCUGCCUGGUAGCGGGGGAUAACUAUUGGAAACGAUAGCUAAUACCGCAUGACAACAGUUAUUGCAUGAUAACUGUUUAAAAGGGGCAACUGCUCCACUACCAGAUGGACCUGCGUUGUAUUAGCUAGUUGGUGAGGUAACGGCUCACCAAGGCGACGAUACAUAGCCGACCUGAGAGGGUGAUCGGCCACACUGGGACUGAGACACGGCCCAGACUCCUACGGGAGGCAGCAGUAGGGAAUCGUCGGCAAUGGGCGGAAGUCUGACCGAGCAACGCCGCGUGAGUGAAGAAGGUUUUCGGAUCGUAAAGCUCUGUUGUAAGAGAAGAACGAGUGUGAGAGUGGAAAGUUCACACUGUGACGGUAUCUUACCAGAAAGGGACGGCUAACUACGUG